rnacentral:rRNA from 1 species
UACGUAGAGGGCAAGCGUUGUCCGGAAUCAUUGGGCGUAAAGAGCGUGUAGGCGGUCCGGUCAGUCGGUUGUGAAAGUCAAGGGCUCAACCCUUGAAUGCCGGCCGAUACUGCCGGGCUAGAGUCCGGAAGAGGUGAGUGGAAUUCCUGGUGUAGCGGUGAAAUGCGCAGAUAUCAGGAGGAACACCGAUGGCGAAGGCAGCUCACUGGGACGGUACUGACGCUGAGACGCGAAAGCGUGGGGAGCAAACAGG